rnacentral:rRNA from 1 species
GACGAACCGUACGAACGUUAUUCGGAAUCACUGGGCUUAAAGGGUGCGUAGGCUGCGCAGCAAGUUGGGUGUGAAAUCCCUCGGCUUAACCGAGGAACUGCGCCCAAAACUGCUGUGCUCGAGGGAGAUAGAGGUGAGCGGAACUUAGGGUGGAGCGGUGAAAUGCGUUGAUAUCCUAAGGAACACCGGUGGCGAAAGCGGCUCACUGGAUCUCUUCUGACGCUGAGGCACGAAAGCUAGGGUAGGCGAACGGGG